GACGACGCAACGCCGCGUGGAGGAUGAAGGUCUUCGGAUUGUAAACUCCUGUUGCUCGGGACGAAAAGCUUCGACCUAACACGUCGAGGUCUGACGGUACCGAGUGAGGAAGCCCCGGCUAACUCUGUGCCAGCAGCCGCGGUAAUACAGAGGGGGCAAGCGUUGUUCGGAAUUACUGGGCGUAAAGGGCGCGUAGGCGGCCUGCUAAGUCGAACGUGAAAUCCCUGGGCUCAACCCAGGAACUGCGUCCGAUACUGGUUGGCUUGAAUCCGGGAGAGGGAUGUGGAAUUCCAGGUGUAGCGGUGAAAUGCGUAGAUAUCUGGAGGAACACCGGUGGCGAAGGCGACAUCCUGGACCGGUAUUGACGCUGAGGCGCGAAAGCCAGGGGAGCAAACGGGAUUAGAUACCCCGGUAGUCCUGGCCCUAAACGAUGAAUGCUUGGUGUGGUGGGUAUCGAUCCCUACCGUGCCGAAGCUAACGCAUUAAGCAUUCCGCCUGGGGAGUACGGUCGCAAGGCUG
rnacentral:rRNA from 1 species